UACGGAGGGUGCAAGCGUUAUCCGGAUUCACUGGGUUUAAAGGGUGCGUAGGUGGGUUGGUAAGUCAGUGGUGAAAUCUCCGUGCUUAACAUGGAAACUGCCAUUGAUACUACUGAUCUUGAAUUUUCUGGAGGUAAGCGGAAUAUGUCAUGUAGCGGUGAAAUGCUUAGAUAUGACAUAGAACACCAAUUGCGAAGGCAGCUUGCUACAGGGAUAUUGACACUGAGGCACGAAAAGCGUGGGGAUCAAACAGG
rnacentral:rRNA from 1 species